rnacentral:tRNA from 1 species
UCCCUGGAGGUCCAGUGGUUAGGACUUGACACUUUCACUGCUGGGGCCCAGAUUCAAACCCUGGUCAGAGAA